rnacentral:lncRNA from 1 species
UGAAAAAGAAAAAAUUUCCUUAAACCUUUCCCCACUUCUCAUGUUCCCCCUUUUCUCCCUAUUCUGUUCAGUUUUUUCUCUCUUUUCACGCAAGUUCCAGUGAAGGAUGUCUUCAAUUUUUCUUCUUUCUUUCUUGUGCUCUUUCUCAAAUUUUUCUUUGUUUCUUGAUUGCUUGUUCUUGUUGUAUUCAUAUUCGGCGGUGAGUGUGACAACUUGAUUCUUGUGUAAGUACCAUCUAUUUUUAUUUUUUCUAUUAUUGAAGUUUUCCUUUUGUUAUUAAGUUGGGGUUUGUGUGCUAUGUUUUCCGUUGUUCAUCGGUUGAGUUUUCUAGGUGAAGGUCACGAAAUGAUUAAUUUUCCGGUGGAUUAAGGCUUGUGAGGGUGCUGUUUACAUUCUGGGGUAAGUGGUUAGCGUAGUUUUGGGGCUGUUAGUUGCUGAAAAUAGGUUAGUUUUGGUAUAAUUUUAGUUAUUAACUUGUAUGAGUUGUGAAUUUAGUUAUUGGUAUAUUCAAUUCUUGAACUAAUUACAUCAGAUUUCAAUAAGAUGUGUAACGAAAAACUCAAAAAAAGCGAACUGACGCUAAGUUAAAAAUUUGACCAUCGGUGCUGCACGGUUGUGUACUGCUAAACUGUUUUAGACUUUUGGACUGUUUUUAAUUUCAGAUUUUUAUUUUCCUUUUAAAACUGUUUUAAUGUUUUGGAUUAUAUCAGUUCUCUUUGCAACAUGUUGGGUUUUAAAAUCAAAUCAUGUUUUUUUCAAAACUAUUUAAUUAAGAAAUUUCUCUGCAAAAUUAAAUAAUUUUAUAAAAAAUUAUCUUUAAAAUUAAUGAAGUAUUUAAGAGAAAGUUUUUCCUGGUCAACUCUAUUUUCCUUACUGUUUCAACAUGAAAACAAAUUAGUAACAUUUCUAAAUCUAAUCUUAAUAUCUAGAUUAAAUUUAGGGUGUUACAUUAAACUUACCGUGUUACUAGAAUGAGUGAAGAAUUGGGUGCUCUGUCAAAUGCAGGAGGUCUUCCACAUGUUCAUGCUAAACUCGUAUAAAUUCUGACAACAAUUUUGGUCCUAUCAUAGUUUGUUUUUUUUUUUUUUUAGGCUGAAGGUAUAAGAAGUUGUCUAAAAAAUCAAUUAACUAAGACCCUUUUUGCAUUCAGUUGAGAAAUUGUGUCAAGUACGCUACUUUGACUAACAAAAAUCGUUGACUGUUAAAUUUUAACAAUCUUACUGUUGUGGGCAUGGAUAUUAUUUUAUUUUAUAUGUUGUAUGAUAAUAGUUUUUGGAUGAGUAGAUAAAUUCUGAAAAAGAAAUAUGGGAAUUUCAAUUUUUAAAAAGAACAAUUGUUUCUGUAAAAACAAGUAUUAUUAAAAGCUGACAACAUAGGCUUAAGUUCAAAAAUUCAUAAAAUUUAAACAUAUAUAUAAUGAUCUGCGUCCAAAAAAAUUUAAAUUUAAAUUAAUCCAAACUCACUUUGUACAUAUGAC